UCCGUUGUCGUCCAGCGGUUAGGAUACCUGGCUUUCACCCAGGCGACCCGGGUUCGAUUACCGGCAACGGAG
rfam:Brassica napus, WGS project CCCW01000000 data, contig: 22391